UUGGGGCAUUGCAAGGAGCAGG
rnacentral:misc_RNA from 1 species